AUGACAGAAAAAAAAAUUGUUCGGCCCAAAAUGUCACGGAUGUGUCUUUUUUUUGCAGUGCAUACAAGUGUCCGGCUCGGUCUCUCCCUUUCCUUAACUUACAAUACAAGUUAUACAACUAUGGCGGUUUACAACUAUGGCCCUAAUCCGCCUUUGGGCUCUGGGCCUCUAAGCUUUAUCAGUAAAGCGCCAUCUUCUUUGUCUUCAUGGGUCUCAACAUGGAUGAGCGUGAAAUGGCCCCUCCUGGGCGGUUUAUACUUAGUAGUUAUAUCCUCAACAUCUCGGCUUGUCGCUAAAGGUUAUGGACAAGUUCAAGGAAUUGACUACGACGAGACUUACUCGCCAGUAGCGAUGCUGAAAUCGGUGAGGAUCGUACUAGCUAUAGCUGCAUAUUUCGAUUACGAGAUAUGGCAGAUGGAUGUCAAGACGGCUUUCCUUCACGGAAAUUUAACCGAGGACGUGUAUAUGAUACAGCCCGAGGGUUUUGUCGAUCCAACUAGCGCUAAGGUAUGCAAGCUCAAGAGAUCCAUUUAUGGGUUGAAGCAAGCAUCUCGGAGGUGGAACAUUCGUUUUGAUGAGGUCGUCACUGGUCUCGGUUUCAUCAAAAGCGAAGAGGACUCUUGUUUAUACAAGAAGUUAAGUGGGAGCUCGAUACUGUUUUUGAUCUUGUAUGUGGACGACAUACUACUGAUCGGGAACGAUGUUUCGAUGCUGAACUCGGUCAAGGAGUCAUUGAAUGGAAAGUUUUCGAUGAAAUACCUUGGUGAGGCAGUGUAUAUUUUGGGCAUUAAGAUCUAUAGAGAUAGAUCGAGGAGGUUUCUCAGCUUAAGCCAGAGCACGUACAUAGAUAAAGUGUUGAAGCGGUUCAACAUGAGUGAGGCGAAGAAAGGGUUCUUGCCACUCUCACAUGGUAUAAGGCUAAGCGAGACUCAGAGUCCUUCGACAUCUAAUGAGCGAAGCAGGAUGGGUAGGAUUCCGUAUGCCUCGGCAAUCGGAUCCAUCAUGUAUGCCAUGAUAUGUACAAGGCCUGAUGUUGCUUUUGCAAUAAGCCUAACAAGCAGAUACUAG
rnacentral:rRNA from 1 species